AACGAACGCUGGCGGCAGGCCUAACACAUGCAAGUCGAGGGGGAAGCCAUCUUCGGAUGGUGGAGACCGGCGCACGGGUGAGUAACGCGUGGGAAUUUACCUUGGAGUGGGGAAUAACCGCUGGAAACGGCGGCUAAUACCGCAUACGCCCUUUUGGGGAAAGCUUUAGCGCUCUGGGAUGAGCCCGCGUUAGAUUAGGUUGUUGGUGGGGUAAAGGCCUACCAAGCCUUCGAUCUAUAGCUGGUCUGAGAGGAUGAUCAGCCACACUGGGACUGAGACACGGCCCAGACUCCUACGGGAGGCAGCAGUGGGGAAUAUUGGACAAUGGGGGCAACCCUGAUCCAGCCAUGCCGCGUGCGUGAAGAAGGCCUUAGGGUUGUAAAGCGCUUUCACUGGUGAAGAUGAUGACGGUAGCCAGAGAAGAAGCCCCGGCUAACUCCG
rnacentral:rRNA from 1 species